GGUUUAAGAGACAACCUGGAGAACUGAAACAUCUAAGUAACCAGAGGAAAAGAAAUCAAUUGAGAUUCCGUUAGUAGUGGCGAGCGAACGCGGACUAGGCCAGUAAUUUUGUUGAAAAAAUUUGAAUAGUUUGGAAAUGCUAACCAUAGAGGGUGAUAGUCCCGUAUGAGUAAUGUUUAACAAAAUUCUUGAGUAAAGCGGGACACGAGAAAUCCUGCUCGAAUAUAGGGGGACCACCCUCUAAGCCUAAAUACUCUUCAGUGACCGAUAGUGAACUAGUACCGUGAGGGAAAGGUGAAAAGAACCCCUAUUAGGGGAGUGAAAUAGAACCUGAAACUGCAUGCCUACAAUCAGUCGAAGCUCUUUUUAGAGUGACGGCGUACCUUUUGUAUAAUGGGUCAGUGACUUAAUUUAUUAAGCAAGCUUAAGCCAUCUAGGUGUAGGCGUAGCGAAAGCAAGUCUUAAUAGGGCGAUUAGUUUAAUGAAUUAGACCCGAAAACGAAUGAGCUUACCAUGAGCAGGUUGAAAGUUGGGUAACACCAACCGGAGGACCGAACCAGUUGACGUUGAAAAGUCUUUGGAUGACUUGUGGUAAGGGGUGAAAGGCCAACCAAAUUCGUAGAUAGCUGGUUUUCCGCGAAAACUAUUUAGGUAGUGCGUUGAAUAAAUAGAUGUUUAGAGGUAGAGCACUAAAUGGGCUAGGGGGAAGAGAUUCUUACCAAACCUAAUAAAACUCCGAAUGCUAGACAUUGUUCUUCAACAGACAGACUGUGGGUGCUAAGGUCCAUGGUCGAGAGGGAA
rnacentral:rRNA from 1 species